AAAAAGUUUGGCAAGAAAACUUCACGUGGUACUUCUUCUACCACUUCUGAGAGCUUUAAGGGAAAGUGCCACUUUUGUAAGAAACCUGGGCACAAGAGAGCUGACUGCAGGGGAUUCAAAGCAUGGUUGGAAAAGAAAGGUAUUCCUGUAGCCUUUGUAGGCUUUGAAUCUAAUCUUAUUGAUGUUCCUUCUGAUACUUGGUGGUUGGAUACUGGUGCAACCAUUAAUAUAACGAAUUCCUUACAGGAAUUCAGAAGCAGGAGGGAGCCCAAUGAAGGGGAGUUGAUAGUUCACAUGGGCAAUGGAGUGACAGCCAAAGUUGAAAGCAUAGGAGUUGUCAGACUACAUCUAGCCACAGGCUAUUUUUUGGAUCUGUUAGAUACGGCUUAUAUUCCUUCUAUUAGGAGAAACUUGAUAUCUGUAUCUAUUUUGGAUAGAUGUGGCUAUACUUUUCAUUUUGGUGAUAGAAAAGUUUACUUAUUCCGCAAUUCAAAGUUAGUUGGUUCUGGCACUCUAUAUGAUGGCUUGUAUAUGAUUGAUUUAUUUUCUCAUGGUGUUGAAUCAUCAUCUAAUGCUCAUGUUGUGCAUGUUGUUAGCUCUAAUCGUGCCAGGGUUGAUGAAAAUUCCUCUAUGUUGUGGCAUAAACGGUUAAGUCACAUUUCUAAACAGAGGAUGGAGAGGCUUAUUAAAGAUAGCAUUCUACAUAAGUUGGAUUUCUCUGAUUUUGGCACUUGUGUUGAUUGUAUCAAAGGUAAACUUACUGCCAAAACCAGAAAAGAGAGAACUCAAAGAUUACUUGUCAGCUGUUGGAAGAACUUUUAAGAAGGUAGAUAAGGCAAAAAAGGGUAAUUAUCUGAGGCUGCUUGCUAAUACCCAGUAUGAUGGUGUUUCUGGAGUCAGAGAGCACAUCCUUAAGAUGACUAGUUACCAUAAGAAGUUAAAGGACAUGGAUGUCAGUCUGCCUGAUGACUACCUGGUCUUCCAAAUCCUUGAAUCUCUUCCACCACAAUUUGGCAAUUUGAGAAGCCAAUACAAUACUCAGAGAGACACUUGGAAUAUCACUGAGUUGACUGCUUAUGUGGUUCAAGAAGAGGAAUCAUUGAAGAAGGGGAAAUCUCACACUGUCAUGGUGGCCACUACUCAAGAGAGUGGGAGUGUGAAGAAAGGCUCUUCAAAGGGCAGCAAUAAGUUUUUUAAGAAGAAAAAGUUUGGCAAGAAAACUUCACGUGGUACUUCUUCUACCACUUCUGGUUCCACUUCUGAGAGCUUUAAGGGAAAGUGCCACUUUUGUAAGAAACCUGGGCACAAGAGAGCUGACUGCAGGGGAUUCAAAGCAUGGUUGGAAAAGAAAGGUAUUCCUGUAGCCUUUGUAGGCUUUGAAUCUAAUCUUAUUGAUGUUCCUUCUGAUACUUGGUGGUUGGAUACUGGUGCAACCAUUAAUAUAACGAAUUCCUUACAGGAAUUCAGAAGCAGGAGGG
rnacentral:lncRNA from 1 species